UGGAGUUCAACAUUGUUAAUCGG
rnacentral:piRNA from 1 species